CGCGGCCUAUCAGCUUGUUGGUGGGGUAACGGCCUACCAAGGCUUCGACGGGUAGCUGGUCUGAGAGGAUGUCCAGCCACACUGGGACUGAGACACGGCCCAGACUCCUACGGGAGGCAGCAGUAGGGAAUCUUGCGCAAUGGGCGAAAGCCUGACGCAGCGACGCCGCGUGCGGGAUGAAGGCCUUCGGGUUGUAAACCGCUUUCAGCAGGGACGAAAUUGACGGUACCUGCAGAAGAAGCCCCGGCCAACUACGUGCCAGCAGCCGCGGUAAUACGUAGGGGGCAAGCGUUGUCCGGAUUUAUUGGGCGUAAAGAGCUCGUAGGCGGUUCGGUAAGUCGGAUGUGAAAUCUCCACGCUCAACGUGGAGGCGCCAUUCGAAACUGCCAUGACUUGAGUCCGGUAGGGGAGUGUGGAAUUCCCGGUGUAGCGGUGAAAUGCGCAGAGAUCGGGAGGAACACCCGUAGCGAAGGCGGCACUCUGGGCCGGUACUGACGCUGAGGAGCGAAAGCGUGGGGAGCGAACAGGAUUAGAUACCCUGGUAGUCCACGCCGUAAACGUUGGGCACUAGGUGUGGGACUCUAUCGACGGGUUCCGUGCCGUAGCUAACGCAUUAAGUGCCC
rnacentral:rRNA from 1 species